CUCUUAAAAUGUGCUAGUUGUUACUAUGUUAAGUAUGUAGAUAUGAACCAUAUGGUUGUCAAAACCGUGUUUCCAAGAUCCACCUUUUGUCGAAUAGUCACACCACUAUAUAUCUGUUACUCAAAUGUUGUUAGCCAAGUUUUUUUAUUUUCAUGGAAAGUAUUAGUAUCAUACACAGUUCAUUUAGUUUAAGCGUGUGCACGGUAGAAUAGAGGGUGUCCACGUUUUCGACGUGGCGAUCAACACCGAUGUCCAGAAGCCAUUUGCAUAUUAAUUGUCCAUAUUGCAAAUUCAGAUAAUAUACAGACUGGCUAGCCAAUACAAUUGACAUAUUAACAUGCAUGAAGAAAUUAACUGAGCAUAUAUAUAGGACACCACUAUUCUAAUUUUGUUAUUAUAAUAGUUAUUUGGAUCAGAGCGCCGCCCAGCGGGGAUGUUCCCGAACUAUACAAUUGAGAUAAAAAGGAAAAAAGACCCCCACUGCCACACCACCCACCUCCCUGAUCCAAUCGCAGCACCCGCCCCCAGCAGGCGACACCGCGGCCACCCCGCCCCCGGCCGGCACCUCCGCCGCCGCCUAGCCCCCGGCCGGCACCGCCGCGGCCACCCCACCCUCGACCGGCACCUCCGCCGCCGCCCCGCUCCCGACUGACACCGCCGUGGCCGCCCCGCCCCUGGGCGCACCCCUGCUCCCAGCGGAUCCGGUGGAGACGCCGCCGCACCACCUCCCGAAGCACCUCGAGGGUCGCUAGAUCCGGCGAGGAUCCUUCACUCGCCGGUGACCGCCAGUACACACGCGAAGGAGCCGUUGACCUUCAUCUGGAGGAGGCAACGACCUGCAACUAGUCUUCGCGAAAGCCGCCGCGACGGCCUACAGUCGGUGGAUUCAGGGUUGGGAUCCUCCUCCCCGCUGCUUGCCUGGGUAGCCCGUGGAGACCACCUCCUCUCCCCUCCUCCAGCCAGAUCGGUCAUCUUUGGGCUCUGGUGAGCCCCUUCAGAGACACGCCCGUUCAUGUGUGUGCCACCGCUUCCUUGUUUCUCCUCGAGCGUCAUCGUGCUGCUUGUUGGUAGGCUUCUGGACAAUGAGGUGGUGCCGAAGGAUGGAACACGGAUGUUCGACUAUAUUUCUAGAGGAAGAAACGAAGAGCAGGUGAUGUAUGUUCGUGAACUAUGUUGUUGUUGUUGUUGUUUCUUGGACGUACUGAACAUUUUUUUUUCUUCUUGAGUAGGUGAACUAUGUAGUUCUGCAAAAACAAAAUCUUGUUGCCUGACCAAACUGCUUCUAAGUACUAUGUCGGCAAGAGCAGGAGAAUUCUAUGUUGCAAAAAAGAAUUCCUUGUAGCUCCCUGGAAGCACAUUUGUAUUUUCGCUUGAACCAAAUUUCAUCCCGUGUGAGAUUCUACUUGGAUGGAGAGAGGGUGUCGACACAAGAUCCUGAAAUGGCAUCAUGGCGGAGAAGGAAUAAGAAGCUACAGGAGCAAAAUGGAGGUGCACCGGCAUGCUUUGCGCUAACAACUACAGCUUAACAGGUGUCUUCUUACCCACUGUCGCGCUGCAUCACCUCACCUGCAUUUCGGUCUUCUUUGCCUUCGAUGUUCCUGCACUACUGCAAGGCGAUGCCGGCAGCUCAGCCCCACACCCGCACACUCCAUCUUCUCCCCAACGCUACUCGUGGCCCUCCCGGCCUUCCAGUCCUACUUCUACGACGAACUCAUGUCAUCUCUGCUCAACUGCUCGAACUCUCUGCUCACCUGUACAUGCUUUUCCAGUUGUUUGUGUUAAUGCCAGUAAGGCUGAGUGUUGUAGAGAUGGCUCAUGCAGUGUUGCAACAGUCAUUGCUCAUGUCGCCGGAGCUCUCGACAACAGUUUUUUUA